CCUACGGGCGGCAGCAGUGGGGAAUAUUGGACAAUGGGCGAAAGCCUGAUCCAGCCAUGCCGCGUGUGUGAAGAAGGCCUUCGGGUUGUAAAGCACUUUUAGUGGGGAAGAAAGCCUUGGGGCUAAUACCCUCGAGGAAGGACAUCACCCACAGAAGAAGCACCGGCUAACUCCGUGCCAGCAGCCGCGGUAAUACGGAGGGUGCGAGCGUUAAUCGGAAUUACUGGGCGUAAAGCGCGCGUAGGCGGUCUGAUAAGCCGGUUGUGAAAGCCCCGGGCUCAACCUGGGAACGGCAUCCGGAACUGUCAGGCUAGAGUGCAGGAGAGGAAGGUAGAAUUCCCGGUGUAGCGGUGAAAUGCGUAGAGAUCGGGAGGAAUACCAGUGGCGAAGGCGGCCUUCUGGACUGACACUGACGCUGAGGUGCGAAAGCGUGGGUAGCAAACAGGAUUAGAUACCCCGGUAGUC
rnacentral:rRNA from 1 species